AUUGAACGCUGGCGGCAUGCCUUACACAUGCAAGUCGAACGGCAGCGGACCUUCGGGUGCCGGCGAGUGGCGAACGGGUGAGUAAUAUAUCGGAACGUACCUUUCAGUGGGGGAUAACGUAGCGAAAGUUACGCUAAUACCGCAUAUUCUGUGAGCAGGAAAGCAGGGGAUCGCAAGACCUUGCGCUGAUUGAGCGGCCGAUAUCAGAUUAGCUAGUUGGUGAGGUAAAGGGCUCACCAAGGCGACGACUCUGUAGCGGGUCUGAGAGGAUGAUCCGCCACACUGGAACUGAGACACGGUCCAGACUCCUACGGAGGCAGCAGUGGGGAAUUUUGGACAAUGGGCGCAAGCCUGAUCCAGCCAUGCCGCGUGAGUGAAGAAGGCCUCGGUGUAAG
rnacentral:rRNA from 1 species